UCCCCCCAGCAGUUAAUCUGAAUGGGGCAGACUUACAACCCAGAUUUUUACUAGUUUCCUGGAAAAGUGUCAUGGAGUCACUCACCUUAGAGUCUGAAUUCUGCUAAGUCACCAUCCACUUCAAAAACGAGUUAACUGAAUCCAAAGGCCUAAAAACAGAAUCUUGGGGGAGGGGGACAAAGACAACAGGGGGUCUGUAAGAGCAUUUAUGUAACUAGGAACAUCUGUUUUGGGGGCUGUUUUGUAGUAUUAUUGUGGAAAUAAGUUCAACUACUAAACUCUAACCAUAAAACAGACACAAAAAUCUAAUACAGAAAGUUCUUUAGAGAUCAUCCAUCAGAGUAGAACCUUAGUCAUAGAAACUCGCUCAGAACAUACCAAUCUAAAUAACCAAACUUCCCAAGUGCCAAUAAAGAUAUAUCAAAUAUGAACUCUUUUGGCUAUAAGUCUGAGGCUCAUUACAUCCUUCUCUGUCUUUUUAAACCAUGCCUGAGAAACAGAACCAUUAAGUGGAGAUUAAGUCAUCACUCAUUCAGUUUCACUACACACCAGUGAUAACUUAGCCACAGAGAUAUUACCAAAGUGACCCAAACUCAUAUGCUGUCCCAGUGCAAGCCUGUCUCCUUCUAAAAACUAUAAUCAAGAUUUCAAAGAUCAUAUGAAAUGUAAAAAUAUGCAUGGGGGCUUUGUGGCAUUUAUUUUGAUCUGACACCAACUUUUGCUAUUCUCCCAAAUCCUUAAUAUGUUCAGAUAUGGUGUUGCCAGACGCCCCCAGUACCUGCCCAACUGGCAAAUCCAGAGGCUUCUUGUCCUUCCCCACCUCUUGAAAGCCUGCCAUCAUUCUUCCUACACACAGCAAUACUACUAACUCCCACACCAAAUUUCUAGGAAAUUAAUUAAGAUUACUUUUUCAGUUGAUGGUAAAGUACGUAAUCUCAAAGAAAAUGCUGAAACCUGAAAGGUUGCAGGGGAAUGAAUUCUACCACUUCUGGUAGAAUUUACCGAUUUUCAUAAGUUACAGAGUAUUAAGUAUUAAGGUAUUCUGAAACAAUUAAAAAUUGUUAAAAAAUACAACUAAAAGAAUCUAUAUAUAUAAACAUGCAAUUCAUUUCUUUCCUUUUUUUUUUUUUUUUUUUUUUUUUGAGACAGAAUCUUGCUCUGUCGCCCAGGCUGGAGUGCAGUGGCAUGAUCUUGGCUCACUGCAACCUCCACCUCCUGGGUUCAAGCGAUUCUCCUGCCUCAGCCUCCCGAGUAGCUGGGACUACAGGUGCUUGCCACCACACCUGGCUAAUUUUUUUUUUUUGUAUUUUUAGUAGAGACAAGGUUUCACCAUGUUAGCCAGGAUGGUCUUGAUCUCCUGACCUCGUGAUCUGCCUGCCUCCUGACCUCGUGAUCUGCCUGCCUCGGCCUCCCAGCUAUGCAUUUUCUAAAUAGUC
rnacentral:lncRNA from 1 species